UCUCUCCCCAGUCCCUUCUAUUUAGCAUAUUUUAAAAAUUUCUGUAGUAGUAGUUUCUUUCUUUCCUUCCUUUCUUUUUCUCUUUCUCUCUCUUUCUCUCUCGCUCUUUCUUUCUUCUUUCCUUUCUUUCUCUUUCUUUCCUUUCUUUUUCUCUUUCUUUCUUUCCUUUCUUUUCCUCUUUCUUUCUUUCUUUCUCCCCGCCCCAGACAGGGACUUGCCAUAUAGUUCAGGCUCACCUUGAACUCACUGUGUAGCCCUGGCUGGCCUUGAACUUGCAGUGAUCCUCCUGCCUUGGCCUCCUGAUUGUUAGGAUUAGGGGAAGUGGAGGCGGCGCUGUGCCUGAAGCCUUCGCCUGUGGAUCCGGUGCGACUCAGACGCUGCCAGAACUGAACUGAGAUGCAGGACGCCCCGCUGCUGAAGCGGUACCGGGAAAACCAUGCAUUUGGUGUCAGAUAUGUGGAGGGUAAAUCCAGCUCCCUGAUGCAUUCACUGAAGCGUGCACUAGAAAAAACGUCUGACCUAACUGCUUCCCUUAGUCUCCAUUUUUGACAGUAUAAGCUGAAAGCAGUUAUUAAGCUUGUAUAAUAUGUCUAGCACUGACGAUAUUUCUUUUGAGAAAUACAGCAACAGAUUUCUAGCACCAAGAAAGAGAAUAAUGAACUGUGGCAAACACUCUUAGGAACCCCAAAAGUGCUACUGGAGCUUACCUUUUAUGUAUUUCCAAAUAUCUAACUGGCAAGAAACUAUGAUUAUGAAUCAGACUAGAGGAUGUGGGAUAGUUCAUGAUUGUGAAGUCAUCUCACUAAAAAUUCCUUAAUUGACAUAUUACUCACUUUAAGAUGCUAUAAUUCCAGGAAAGAAAAGGUGAUUUGGGGGUAAAUUCUGUUUCACUAACAUUGUCUUAUUCCCACUGGGUUCUAGAUUAGCAAAUGGUCUCAGUCAGGUCUCCAGGACAAGCACAUGCUCCUAGACAAAAUCCUUCCUGACAGAGUGGUGCUUUGUCCAGAUUUCUGGAGUCUUCUCUAUGCUGCCUCAUUUAUCUUUCUUCUUUUAGUUCUUUAAUGCUGUUUUUCCUAUUUUCUCUAGAUUUUUUACCUAUCUUCUGUAGAGGUUACCUUGCUCACCAAUAUUAUGUAUGACGUUCCUAUAUUUUAUAAUAAGCUUCAGAAUUUUAGUGGUUGUCAUAGCACUAAUGUCCUAGUGACUAUCCUAAUAAUACCAAGAAGACAAGAGUCCAAUUAUAUGUUAUAAAAGAUCACACAGCACCAUUAUUUUUUGCUCAAUUUAUAAUGGCCAAAAAACAUUCAGGAGGAUUUUUAAAGGUUCAUUAUGUAGAAGCCCUAGAAUCAAACAGAUUGUGUUGUAUAUGAAUAAAGUUACAUUUAUUUUAUGACUAUUCCCUUUUGGGAUAGUAAGGCAUUCUUUUAAAAAAUAUUACAAUCAAUGCAAUAUUACUUAUUUUAAAAAUGAAAACUAUUAUUAAACCAAUGAUGCUUACUCAUAUUGAUGGUCCCUUAAAAUAGAAAAAAUACUGUAUUUUGUAUGUCUGGCUUUAACGUCUGCCCGUUCUGUGCUGCGCUGAAUGUUCACCCAAGCCUCCUAGAUAAGCUGCUGGUGAUUAUCAACGGGGAUCCAUCAUCUUCCUUGGGAUCCGCAUUCUGAAGUGUUGUAAAUAAAUUACAGCAAGUCCCCAACUUACGAACAUUCGAGCUGCGAUUUCACGGACACGAAGGACUCACGUUAGGAACAUGCGCAGAUGCGGACACCCCCGGAAGUGGCUGGGCCCUCUGCCCCCUGCGCAGUGCGAUGGUGCAGGGCAGCACAGCUCAGUCAGCGCCUGGACGUCCGGAGCCAGGAGAGGGGUCGCUGGGGAGCGCAAAGCAGCGCACGCUGUGUGUUUGUGUCAAACGUGUGUGAGGCUCGCUCUGCCGGACUUAGGGGUGAAGCAGAUUUAGAAUGUUCUCUUGAAUCAGAACUUGUAUGGAAGUUGGGGACUUACUGUAUUCCGAAGAAUAAAGUCUGCAGAAAAAUCUUUUUUUUUUUUUGGUACCGGGGAUGGAACUUGGGACCUUGUGCCUGCAAGCCAGGCCAUGGAACCACUGAGCUAGCUUGAUCUCUAGCUUUAAUCAGCAAUAAUUUCUUUUGAAAUAAAUUACCUACUUUAAAACUCUGUAGGACCGGGGAUUUAGCUCAGUGGUUCUGCCACCUGCCUCGCAGGCGCAAGGUCCCGAGUUCAAUUGCCGGUAUCAAAAAAACAAAAAAACCCCAACUCUGUAAAGUAAUCUCUCUAAAAGUUAUAGUUUUAAUAUGAGAUGAUACCUACUUUUUAUUUAACAUAUUUUAAAAUUUAUUAUAAAAAAUUAGGUACUGGAGAUUUAGCCUUAAGUAAAACCAAGGCUUGCCCUGGUUUUGAUAAAGUUUGAGUCUAUUUUAACUUCAUAGUUCCUAGUCAACAUUAUUUUUAAUUUUCAUCAAGCCCAAUUAACCUGGUUAAAUUCUGGGUUCCUCAUAAAGCUAAAAGAUGACCCACUUUGGACAUCAACGUGUAUCUGAUAUUAUAAUCCUUUAAUGAGGCAUUGUUGACUUCCUCUCUGAAGAAUGGGAUGAACUUGGGGUACAGGGCUUGCUUUAAAAUUCACAAUGUCGGGAAUCAUAUCCUCACUUUUGCAUAUUUUAUGUUAAAGCUAUGUUUACUUUUGUGGAGCUACCAGGAAAUAGUACCUUAGCAGCUCUUACCUUUGAGGGCUGAGGAGGAUAGAAGGUGGGACUGGUGCAUACAGAAGGCAGACAGGGAUUGGAACCCUUGACCUGCCAGUACUGAGUGACCCAGAACAAGUUAUUUCAUUGCUCAGCUCCCAUAUUUAUUUUUCUACAAACUAAAAAUGAUGACACCUACACUGGUGAAUUUUGAGAGCACUAAACUGUAGAGCACAUGUGAGUAUCUAGCAUAUAGAGACUGUUAGGAAUACAGAUACCACUUGUAAUAGCUACCGCCUUCUCUCUUCCCCUUCUCCAAGGUGGUCCCAAAUCACAAGUUCUGAAACAAAUUAGGAGAAAAAUUGAAUGGCUUUCUUUUCUGUUCUAGAAUCUCUUUUCUUGGCUUUACAUUAAGGUAUCCUAUAAAGAGAGUUGCUCUCUCCACCACAUAAAAGCAUUACAGUCAUCUAAUUGUAAAUUAAAUGCUAAGCCUGCUUCACUGUGGGAUAUGAAGCUUGUGGAUCUGAGGUCAAGUUUUUCUUGAUAGGGAAAGAAUAAUAACAACCUUUGGCUGUCCAAGCAGAAAGGAUAUGUUUCUUGUGACAUUUAAUCUAAUAAUAAAAGGCUGUGGGUAGCUUCUUGUGGGAGGUAGGCAAAUGCUAGCAGCAGGAAAUGCUCUGCACUGGUUGUCACAGUUCAAGGUUGAGUAACCUCUGGCUAAUGUGGAAAGAGUUCGUUGAUCACAAUUCAGCUGAACAAAUAUGUAUCCUGGAAUGCAAAGUGAAUUUAUUGGAAUUGCUGAUUUUAUGUUCAAAUUUACAAUACAUACUGGAAAGAGAUUGAUACUAUGUCAUAUUUUGCUUUGGGAAAACUGAAUUUGAACAAGUGGAUCUCAACUUGAAUCCUAAAGGUCAUGCUGGCUUAUCCAAUUUCAAGAAAAAUUAUUGACUCAAAUUUGUUGGAGGAAAUUAUUUUUCAUGAUGUGGAAUCUUUUCAAACUAUUGUUCACAUGACCUCCAACAUGUGUUUCAUAAAGUGAAGAAGAAAGAAAGAAAGAGAAACACAAACAUUAAAUCUGAGUGGUUAGAAGAUUUUGUGGUGUAGGGAAGAAGCCAAACCUGCUGCAGAGGCCCUGUGUGUCUGGUGAUGGCGUCUGCUUCCCCAAGAGGAUCUUGUUGCCUUUGCAGGCAGGGCUGCAGUGGCUGAUGCCCCUGUCUGCAGACUGCCUGCUGUGAAGGAGGACAUUUAGAGGAUGAUUUCCAAGCUACAGCACGGCCAACACAGAGUUUAUAAAAAGAAGGGCAGCACUGUCAAGCGUGGUUUAGAACACAACAGUGGUAAUUGUUCUUAUGCUGAUGAUAAAUUUUUCCUUCUCAACCUGAAUGGAGCAGCCUACUGGGGAAGGUUUUCAGCCCUGGACUCUGUCCGCCUCCCUGCUGGGCAGGAAAGCAAUUGUUCACUUUCAUGCCCUCUUUCUGUUCAGUCCUAGAAACCUGUGACAUUGAAGUUACUGAGCCUUGCAGUUUAGUUAAGGUCUCCAGUUGAGUCUGGGUAAGACACCAGGAAGUGGGGAACUAACUUUCUAAACAGAUUUAAAGAACAGGGGGGCAGUCCCCUUAACAGAUGGCAGUUUGACUUAUGGAAAAGUCAAUUGCCUCUUUUCAUUUCCAGAAGGCACUGAAGAGCUGGAGGAGCAGCUCACAGAGUGGAAAAACUGCAACUGAGAAUAGCAAAAGAGAAUGAGGGACUUCUGAGCCAAGUCAGAUCAAAGAACGUUUGAGGACGUGUGAGCAUUUGGAACACUUCAAAGGCGUGACAAGAGCUAUUCUCCCCACCUCCAGCCUCAAAUGCAUAUCUAAUAUUCCUGGGCAAGCUUUCCCAUGCAAAGCAAAAUGUUCUGUUUUUCUUCGUCUUUCAUUAGGCUGGGAUCUGAGAGCACAGAAAGUGCAAAACACAAUGAUGAAGUUUAAGGGCAGCCCUUGUUAAACCCCACACUUACAUGAGGAGGUGAGCAUUUAAAACUGCUACUUCAGGUGGCAGUGUUGCUUGUCCCUGCUGAGCUGCUGCUGAUCUCACUGUGGUUUAGAAUUUCUGGAGUAAAUGAAUGAGUGAAUGAAAUGACAAACAGCGAGUGAAGGAUACACAAGCAGACGCCCCUGCUGAAGCUGUGUUGUGGGUUGCAGUGGGCAGGAGGCAGGCGAUGGGAGAAAUAAAGCAGCUUCCUUCUGAGGUCUUCUGACACUCAUGGGUGUGUACCCCUUCAGCAUGUCGAAUGCAUCUGCCGUAGAAAAGUGAUGUGCAGUUCAUGUCUUCCUUUUUAUAACGUUGGAUGGCUGAGAUAAUGUCAUUCUGUUCUGGGUGCUGACCUGGCAUAGGAUACAUUUGGAGGCCUUUAAACCUGGAAUAGAUGAAGGGGCUUCAAAGAAACUGAAUAAAACCGACACAGUCUCUUCGGAUUUUGGUGUAAAUUUACUGAUACAAGAUGGCACUGUGGCUUGAAUGUUUCCUUCAGUAUUCGGUGUUGGACAUUUGUUCCCCAGUGCAGCAUUGUUGAAUGCUGGCUUUGGGAAGUGAUUAGGAUAUUAGGACUCUAGCCUUCAGAUGCACAAACACUGUUAUUGUGUGAAUGGGUUAGUUAUUGUGAGAGUGAGCUCUUCCUUGGUAAAAGGAAUGACCUCUGUCUGUCUGUCUCCCCUCCCCCUUCUGCUAUGAGCUGAAGUGGUAAGGUCCUUGACAGACUCGGGCCUUGACUUUGAACUUUUCCGUGUAAGAAACAAAUCUCUGUUCUUUAUAAAUUACCUAGCCUCAGGUAUUAUGUUACAGCUGCACAAAAUAGACAAAGACAAAUGGAAAGAGAUGACUGUGAAUAUAAACUAAAAACCCACUUGUCUCAAUAAAUUGCAACUGCCUGGGUAGAACAGCAACUGUAAUAUUAUAGUCAAAUUCCUUUAAAAAAUUUGAGGGUAACAUUAGGGUUAGAGAUUUAUGCUUCAUUCUGAGCCACUGACAAACUCAUUCAUAAUGUGUUUUCCCUGGACAUCGGGCUAGCUCGGACUUUCUGGUGGACUCAUCCGCAGCUGUGAUGAUAGAGGAUGCACAGGUGGAGCAGAGUUUGGGGCCCAUAUAUCUUACUCUUCCUGAGGCACCAAAGGUCAGGUCGAUAGCAGCUGCAUGGAUCUUCCACUGUGAUGUUCAAAGUUAAUGUUUUAAGGGGUUGUGUGUGUGUGGUCAUUCGAACUUAUCUCUCGAGGUAAAUUUAGCUUGUGGAAUCAUGGGUAGCUUCUGAUGAGAUUUCAUACCUGGACAAACCCAAACACAAAAACUUAUAUUUGACUAAGAACUUUUCCAGAUCAUGAUUGGAAGCCAUAUGCCAUGACUCAUACCUUGCUGUUAAAAUUCUGUAAAAAUAUUUAAACAAACAAGCCACAGAAGUAAAUUUACAUUUUCACAAAUCCAGUUCGACCUGGACAGCUCUUCUUUACUGAUAAUAAACGGUACUGAAUUCUGUAAAGGAGCAGAUGUCUAUUUUUUGAGGUAAGCAUAUUGUGUCCUGGAUGGAAAACAUCAAAACUUGAAACUCGAGCAGCAAGGAGAAGAAAUGUACACUCAGGUCUUCAGUCAUGAAUAAAACAUCUGAAAUAGGACAAAAUGGACUUUUUCUUAUAAAUAUUGAAGUGACUGGUAUAUUAAUCUACCAACAUCUUUGUCCUUUGUGAGUGUCAAGUGGAACACGGAUGCAUUUUGCUUGGGAAGUGACCCCAAAUGUCACUUAUUUGGAUUGUUAAUCAGAUUUCUCUCUGUGUGUGUGUGUGUGUCUUCAUUUUCUCCUCUAUGCAGUGGGGACAGUGGUAAGGAAACAUGAAGAGCAUCCUGGGGAGAGGGUAAAGCAGGAUAAGCAGGAGUCUGUGUCCCUCUCAGGUAGCAGUCCCUGGAUGACCUAUCUGACAUAGCUACUUUGGAACUCUAGAGUCAACUGAAUGCUGUCAACUUCUAGAAGAAUGUGUAGGGAUCGAAUUGCAGUUAACUUCGUUCAGUUACAGCUCUCAGCUCGUCAGCUGUCUCUGGUCCCCAGCCCACCCCACCCCUAGCUGUGUGGCUGAUGGCAGUGCUUGAGCUCCCGCAGCAGCUUGCAGGACGUUUUUGGAGCCUGUGUGGUGAAGGACCAUGUCCUCCACACGGGGGGCAUCUGUGCCCUGAUUGCCGAGGAGGCUUCUGAUCAAGGGGGUGCAGACACAGAGCAACCGCCCUGUG
ensembl:lncRNA